CGGCCAUCCAGUCUAUCUUUGGCAAAGGAACGGAAUCAGUUAGUUUAAGACCUUGGGCUCUGAGCUAACAGACCUGGGUUCACUAACUCAGGGGCUUUGGGCAAGUUACUUGAUGUUUUAGAGCCUCAGUUUCCUCAUCAAAAUGGAGAUAAUGCAAAGUGGUGCCUACCUCUUGUCAUGAAUCUAGCCAUCAACAUCAACGUUUAUGACACACCUGCUCUGUGCUGGUCCUGGCCUGGGAAGGCCACUCUCUCGAAGCUGAUAGAAGCCCAGGUCGAGGAUGUAGGGGAAAGAGGAGGACAAAGGCAUCAGAAGCUCACAUCGUUCUUUGUGUGAAGCCUCUCAUUUUCCUGGCAUUUCCUCCAAGUUAACAUCUCGCUGGAAUGGCAUGAGUUGACGCGAAAUGUCUGCGGUGUUUUACGCAGCAUGUGGCUGUCUACACGCCUGGAAACACGCUAUAUUUCUGAGGCAAAGAGAGACUUUGUCACACAGGCAAAAAGGCACAGGCAAAAAGGCGGGAAGACGAGCUGCCCAUAGGACACUUCCUCAUAUGUUUCCAGAAAAGAAGUAGCCACUUUCAUUCCAGAGAAGGCAAACUGAGCAUGAGUGUGGCCCUCCUGGGGCUUCCUAGAGAUUGAUGAUCUUUAAUUGACCCUGGGGAGAAAUGCCUCAAAAGCCUUCUAAGGACCCUUCAGAUUGAAAGUAUCAAGUAAUAUCUAUCUAUGACCAUUUGUCCGCUCGGUCACUGAGUCAAGCACUUUAUUGAAUGUCUACCAAAUACCAGGCACUGGACUAGGCCCUAAGGACAAACAGAAGCCACUGUCCAUGAGGAAAUUGCCACCAGUUGGGGUGGCAGGCAUCCUGUGGGAGCUGCUCCCAGAGCUUACACAAAGAAGUGGAUCUGAGCAGUGCAACGGGUGGAGUGUGCUGGACAACAUGAUACUCUUCCCAGAUCUUCCCUACGGAUGAAGGACAAAUUCCUCUUGCUGCUGGGAACGCUCCUGGAAGAUGGCUCUCAGCUGUUAGCCCCUUCAAGAGAUUGCUUUGGCUGAGGAAACUUCCUUGCCCAAAGGACAGCUUACAUCCAACGACCCAUCAAUGAGGGGGUAUGAAGUUUUGUCCCCUCAUCUCAAUUCAGUUAAACUCCGAAGACCUAUCUCCUAGGGCCACACCUCCCUGGGGGACAAGCUGAGGACUUUGUUGGAAUGCAUUGCAGCUCAACUUCUGCCUCUGCCCAAUCUUGCUUCCUUUCUCCCCCUUCAGCAGAUGUUGAUACCAAGCAUAUGCCUUAAUAAACAUCCUGUAUGCUAAUCUCCAUCCCAGAGACUGCUUCUUGGGGAACACUUUCAAAACUGAAUCAAGACCAUCCAGGCCUGUGGCCAACAGCCAACUGAUCUCUUUGAGGGAAGCAGUGAAUAGACUGGUGUUCAGAUGUGCCCUCUUCAGUUCACUGGGAAUUCCUUCCUUGAUGCUCACAGAGGUGGAACUUCACCAAAACGGAUGCCAAUGUGCUCUCCCACUUUACAUCUUGGCUCACAAAAUAAGUCUUGUUCAAAUGAAAAUAGUCUUCAUGUAGAGCAUGGAUUUACAGAGAUAAACAGAAAUCAGGUAGAGCAUAGCUCAGUUAAAAUAAGUCUUGUAGAUUGUGGUUACGAUUACACAACGUUAUAUAUUUAUUUAAUGCCACUGC
rnacentral:lncRNA from 1 species